UGGUCCACAGCUGAAGCAUGAGGACCGUCGGGUUGGUGGUUACUGCAACCAGCCAAGGGCUCUUGUGCUCGUCCCAGCAGGUUGUCGUGAAUGAUUGAAUCAUUAAAGUGAGGACAUGGACAACUACUGCAGAGCAGCCACCACUCAGGCAGUGCUGUCCCUCCCUGGUGGGAACCUGCCCAGGAGGCCAUACCCAUGGAAAGAGUACAUGGUGGUUAUCUCAAGGUCAUGUGAGCAGGAAACAACACGGACAACGUGAAUAUUAUGUGAAUGGGAGCUGCUGGUGGGGCUAUCGGAGCUUCCUAGGUCAGGCAGGACACACAGGGAGUCACCCUGCCCCAGAACAAAGCAGGAAGAAGUGAAGAUGGUGCCAAAAAUCCUGGCAAGAAGGUUCAAAGUCUGGCCAGAUCAACCUACCCUUGUCGAGAGAGAGAGAGACACAGUUUGCAGCAAUGCCCAUCUGGAACUCGCCCUCACAGGAUGUCUUGUAGAACCUGCCCUGCUGAGGCUGGAAUUACAAAGCCAUUUGAUGUGUUUUUGCUUGAUGUUUAUGUACUCCUUCAUCUCAGAGCAUCGUGGUCCAUGGAGAAGCUCACAAGAAAAUAACCACAGCAACUGUAAUGAAAUCGCCACCAGCAUCUGGAUCUUCUUGAGGGUGAAGACAAAUGAUAAUGCAGAUGCACAGCCAUAAAAUCAACAGCAGCUUUCCAACAAAAGCCAAAGGACAAUGACUUUGUUGGAGCACCAGCCAUCAGGAAUGUCUUUAAGGGUUAAAGUAGCGAGCUGACAAAAACCUUAAUGUUUUUACAGCACAUAGACUUGUAACAUACAAUACAGGACAAUUCGUUCUAUUGAUGUCUAAAAAUUCUUAAUGGAGAAACAGGCUGUCAAAAUACAGGAUACUUUAUAGGUUAGCUCUUCUCCAUACUUCAUCCUCAGGUAUUUGCCAAGUUAGCAGAGGAUCAGACUUCAAGUCACAUUUAGGCUUCUUUAGAGCAGUUUUUCCACUAAAAGCUUAGCUCGAAGACAUACAUAUUAACAAAAAAAAGAGCCAUUCAUUCUUGUCACACAUUUCGUCCUCGGAACACUUGCAAAUCCUGAAUAUAAUUUUUUUUCUAAUUGAAAGGAAAUAAAACAUCUUUUAUAUAGUCAGACAA